rnacentral:rRNA from 1 species
AGAGUUUGAUCCUGGCUCAGAUUGAACGCUGGCGGCAGGCCUAACACAUGCAAGUCGAACGGUAACAGGGAGCAGCUUGCUGCUUCGCUGACGAGUGGCGGACGGGUGAGUAAUGUCUGGGAAACUGCCUGAUGGAGGGGGAUAACUACUGGAAACGGUAGCUAAUACCGCAUAACGUCUUCGGACCAAAGUGGGGGACCUUCGGGCCUCAUGCCAUCAGAUGUGCCCAGAUGGGAUUAGCUAGUAGGUGGGGUAACGGCUCACCUAGGCGACGAUCCCUAGCUGGUCUGAGAGGAUGACCAGCCACACUGGAACUGAGACACGGUCCAGACUCCUACGGGAGGCAGCAGUGGGGAAUAUUGCACAAUGGGCGCAAGCCUGAUGCAGCCAUGCCGCGUGUAUGAAGAAGGCCUUCGGGUUGUAAAGUACUUUCAGCGGGGAGGAAGGUGUUGUGGUUAAUAACCACAGCAAUUGACGUUACCCGCAGAAGAAGCACCGGCUAACUCCGUGCCAGCAGCCGCGGU